rnacentral:rRNA from 1 species
UACAGAGGGUGCGAGCGUUGUUCGGAAUUACUGGGCGUAAAGCGCGCGCAGGCGGCCACUUAAGUCCGUAGGUGAAAGACCGGGGCUCAACCCCGCGUCAGCCAUGGAUACUGGGCGGCUGGAGACAGGUAGAGGCAAGCGGAAUUCCGGGUGUAGCGGUGGAAUGCGUAGAUAUCCGGAAGAACACCAGUGGCGAAGGCGGACUCACUGGCCCGGUACGUGGACGCUGAGGUGCGAAAGCGUCGGGGAGCAAAGCAGGGAGUUAAGAUGA